rnacentral:rRNA from 1 species
UACGUAGGGUGCGAGCGUUGUCCGGAUUUAUUGGGCGUAAAGAGCUUGUAGGCGGCUCGUCGCGUCGGGUGUGAAAACUUGCGGCUUAACCGCAAGCCUGCACCCGAUACGGGCGGGCUAGAGUUCGGCAGGGGAGACUGGAAUUCCUGGUGUAGCGGUGGAAUGCGCAGAUAUCAGGAGGAACACCGGUGGCGAAGGCGGGUCUCUGGGCAAUAACUGACGCUGAGGAGCGAAAGCGUGGGGAGCGAACAGG